GAUGAACGCUGGCGGCGUGCUUAACACAUGCAAGUCGAACGGAGUGCCUUUGAAAGAGGAUUCGUCCAAUUGAUAAGGUUACUUAGUGGCGGACGGGUGAGUAACGCGUGAGGAACCUGCCUUGGAGCGGGGAAUAACACAGUGAAAAUUGUGCUAAUACCGCAUAAGCGCACAGUGCCGCAUGGCGCUGUGUGAAAAACUCCGGUGGUAUGAGAUGGACCCGCGUCUGAUUAGCUGGUUGGUGAGGUAACGGCCCACCAAGGCGACGAUCAGUAGCCGACCUGAGAGGGUGAUCGGCCACAUUGGGACUGAGACACGGCCCAA
rnacentral:rRNA from 1 species